GCGAAAGUGAACCGCGGUAAUGUGCCGCACGUUUGCCGUUUUUGUGACGUUCUAGUGUAGCACGAGUUUUACGACGAGACGUAUACGACUAACAUUACAGAUGCGUCCGAUGCUACGCCACGCGCCACAUACCGACGAUGGUUGGUUGGCCUUUCGCUUUCUUCCUUUCGAAUGCGUCUAGCUGCUAAUCCAACCGAUCGUUGCUACCUCCUACGGCACACCGAAACGCACGUUGUUCGAUUAGUUGGUUUAAAAAUAGUGUCCCAUGUUGCGAAGGUUCGCCACUAAAUCUACCAUCGGUUGGUGUAGAUAUGGCGCCCGGAACGAUUAGAACCAAAAAGACUGGCAAAAAAAACAAUCUGAAGAUGAUUUACGAACAUGCGUGUCUCGACCGGACUGGCCUAUUUCUGAUUAUCUGUCCAUUUGAAGAUAGAUCAGCUUCAAACGACAAUUAUUGUAAGCUCUAAAAAAAGUGGUUCCAUAACAUUAAUCAUAACGAUCGUGGCAUGCAGAUGUUUAACUUAAUCUUUCGAUUGCUGCAAUAAACCAUCAGCUUCAUUUCAGUUGGAAAAUAUUUGGCGAGGAUAUAUUUUUGGGGCAGCUUCACCAUCAAUUAAAUAGAUUAAAACGAAGUUCCAAAUCUUCUAUUUGUUUAUUCUUCUUUCUUGACCUGGUCAUUCGACACAAUGGCCAAUCUUUCUCUAAAUUUUCUUCUAAAAGGAAAUCUUCGCAAUGCAAUGGUGGGCAUAUUUUGAUAUGUAGUAUAUUCAUCAUACGAAAUAGUUAGAGCUAUUUUAUUCUUCGCGCAACUAAUUAGCUUUCUACUUCUUGCUUACUUAGCUUAAUUUUAUCAUACCGUUAGAUAGUCAGUGUUUGCUACUAGAAAGUCCUCUGAAUUCUAGCCAUAUUUAAUCUAAACUAGUCCUGAAUUAAGUAUUUGAAGCUUAACAAUGAUAUGAAAACUACCAAGUUUACCAUGUGCUUUGUAACACAGGGACAGCAUCGACACGUUAUCGCACGAUAGGACCGUUAUCUGAUCCUCAUCCGGACUAUUCUCCCGCAGAAUAACUUCUGGCACAGACAUCUGAGGGCAUGGCCGUCCAAGAAGAAAAUGUAGCCAUUGGUGCCAUCUAUCGACCACAGGUUAAAGAUUGGCGAUCCGUUGGAUACCGACCAACUUAUAGGCAAAACUUGGUGCAAAAAUGAGGAAAAUUUUACAUUUUCUCAAACAGGGUAAGGAACUUGGUUCCUCGAAUAACUUCUGGCACAGACAUCUGAGGGCAUGGCCGUCCAAGAAGAAAAUGUAGCCAUUGGUGCCAUCUAUCGACCACAGGUUAAAGGUUGGCGAUCCGUUGGAUACCGACCGAGUUAUAGACAAAAAUUGGUGCAAAAAUGAGCGUUAUGAAAUUUUCUAAUUUUUCUAAUUUUUUUAUUUUUUUAUUAUUUUUCACUCUUUUUUUAUUUAAAGCAUUACUUGAGUGAAAAGAAACCCAUUGCAACCAAUUGGCAUUAAAAUAAAUCAAUUUCAUUUUUUUGCAAAAUUUUUCAAAAAAAACGUAAGGGGUAAGCCUUAUGAAAUUUUCGAGUGAAAAUUUUUUUUGAAAUUUUUUUCUGAUUUUUUAUUCUUUUUUUAAUUUAAAGCAUUAUUUGAGUGAAAAGAAACUUAUUGCAACAAAUUCGCAUUAAAUUAUAUCACAUUUAAAAAUUUUGCUGAAUUGCAGAAAAAUGAGGAAAAUUUUACAUUUUCUCGAACAGGGUAAGGAACUUGGUUGCUCGAAUAACUUCUGGCACAGACAUCUGAGGGCAUGGCCGUCCAAGAAGAAAAUGUAGCCAUUGGUGCCAUCUAUCGACCACAGGUUAAAGAUUGGCGAUCCGUUGGAUACCGACCAAGUUAUAGGCAAAACUUGGUGCAAAAAUGAGGAAAAUUUUACAUUUUCUCAAACAGGGUAUGGAACUUGGUUCCUCGAAUAACUUCUGGCACAGACAUCUGAGGGCAUGGCCGUCCAAGAAGAAAAUGUAGCCAUUGGUGCCAUCUAUCGACCACAGGUUAAAGAUUGGCGAUCCGUUGGAUACCGACCGAGUUAUAGACAAAAAUUGGUGCAAAAAUGAGCGUUAUGAAAUUUUCUAAUUUUUCUAAUUUUUUAAUUUUUUUAUUAUUUUUCACUCUUUUUUUUAUUUAAAGCAUUACUUGAGUGAAAAGAAACCCAUUGCAACCAAUUGGCAUUAAAAUAAAUCAAUUUCAUUUUUUUUGCAAAUUUUUUCAAAAAAAACGUAAGGGGUAAGCCUUAUGAAAUUUUCGAGUGAAAAUUUUUUUUGAAAUUUUUUUCUGAUUUUUUAUUCUUUUUUUAAUUUAAAGCAUUAUUUGAGUGAAAAGAAACUUAUUGCAACAAAUUCGCAUUAAAUUAUAUCACAUUUAAAAAUUUUGCUGAAUUGCAGAAAAAUGAGGAAAAUUUUACAUUUUCUCGAACAGGGUAAGGAACUUGGUUGCUCGAAUAACUUCUGGCACAGACAUCUGAGGGCAUGGCCGUCCAAGAAGAAAAUGUAGCCAUUGGUGCCAUCUAUCGACCACAGGUUGAAGAUUGGCGAUCCGUUGGAUACCGACCGAGUUAUAGACAAAAAUUGGUGCAAAAAUGAGCCUUAUGAAAUUUUCUAAUUUUUCUAAUUUUUUUAUUUUUUUAUUAUUUUUCACUCUUUUUUUUAUUUAAAGCAUUACUUGAGUGAAAAGAAACCCAUUGCAACCAAUUGGCAUUAAAAUAAAUCAAUUUCAUUUUUUUUGCAAAAUUUUUCAAAAAAAACGUAAGGGGUAAGCCUUAUGAAAUUUUCGAGUAAAAAUUUUUUUUGAAAUUUUUUUCUGAUUUUUUAUUCUUUUUUUAAUUUAAAGCAUUAUUUGAGUGAAAAGAAACUUAUUGCAACAAAUUCGCAUUAAAUUAUAUCACAUUUAAAAAUUUUGCUGAAUUGCAGAAAAAUGAGGAAAAUUUUACAUUUUCUCGAACAGGGUAAGGAACUUGGUUGCUCGAAUAACUUCUGGCACAGACAUCUGAGGGCAUGGCCGUCCAAGAAGAAAAUGUAGCCAUUGGUGCCAUCUAUCGACCACAGGUUAAAGAUUGGCGAUCCGUUGGAUACCGACCAAGUUAUAGGCAAAACUUGGUGCAAAAAUGAGGAAAAUUUUACAUUUUCUCAAACAGGGUAUGGAACUUGGUUCCUCGAAUAACUUCUGGCACAGACAUCUGAGGGCAUGGCCGUCCAGGAAUAAAAUGUAGCCAUUGGUGCCAUCUAUCGACCACAGGUUAAAGAUUGGCGAUCCGUUGGAUACCGACCAAGUUAUAGGCAAAACUUGGUGCAAAAAUGAGGAAAAUUUUACAUUUUCUCAAACAGGGUAUGGAACUUGGUUCCUCGAAUAACUUCUGGCACAGACAUCUGAGGGCAUGGCCGUCCAAGAAGAAAAUGUAGCCAUUGGUGCCAUCUAUCGACCACAGGUUAAAGAUUGGCGAUCCGUUGGAUACCGACCAAGUUAUAGGCAAAACUUGGUGCAAAAAUGAGGAAAAUUGUACAUUUUCUCAAACAGGGUAUGGAACUUGGUUCCUCGAAUAACUUCUGACACAGAGAUCUGAGGGCAUGGCCGUCCAAGAAGAAAAUAUAGCCAUUGGUGCCAUCUA